rnacentral:lncRNA from 10 species
GAACUCCAAGGGCAGGAGGUAACCAUUAAAGAGGACCAUCAUGUAGUGUGAGGAGUCAACAUUUCACACUAGAAAGCCCUUGGUUCAAGUUUUGUCUCUGCCACCUACAGAUUUUGUAACCCUGAUGAUGCUGCCUGGAGUUAAAGGAGGCCAGGAGCACCAGAAGCUGGAGGAGGCCGGGGUGGAUUCUCGCCUGGAGGCUUCAGUGGGAGCACGAGCUCCCGACACUUCGGUUCCAUCUCUUGUUUAAAGGCACCCAGUUUCUCAUCAUUUGUUACAGCACCAUGGAAAACCCACACACAAGUGAAGCCCCGACCCACCUCCCAAGUGCCCAUCUGAGCACCCCUCGUGGACUCUGAGCAGGGGGUUGCCAUCACCAACUCCAAGUCUUGCAGCCCCUCUUCCCUUCAGUCUGGCUGCCACCUUCUUCAUUGCCCUGGAAAAAAAUAAUGAAGUUUCACCAUUUAAAGGGUUUCAGUGCAGCUUGCUAUGGGAACACUGGAGAGUAACACAAAUGGCCAAUUGUCCUAAUAGCCACCAUGGAUUGGAUGGAUGCUAACAACAGGCUCACAGUUCUCCUUCUGUUGCCUCCUUUUAUCCACAUGAGAAUCAAACAAGACUACUGAUUAAAUGAAGCCUUUGAUGAAGUGCAUGCAGUUUGUAGCUUGAUUCAUGGGAAUACUCAUCACAGACUGAAAGUGUAACCCAGGGUCUCUGGGUUUUUGGGAACGCGCUGUGUAAAAGUAUCUACUUGUAACUGUUACUCCCUGAGUUGUUGUUGUUUUAGAAAGUUCCAAGAAGAAGCUUAGCCUUGGAAAAAACAAAAACUGGUUGAAUCCAGAAGUGGAGAUGAAUUUUGGCCAACGCUCCUCACUGCCACACUAAAAACCCUGCUCAGAGAGGAGCUUAUUCACCAUGUUCUAUUCAUGCAAUGUGUGUGGAAACAUGAUCUACGACAGCAUGCGUGCUGCCUUCACCCUACCUCUACAUACAAUGACUCAUUUAACCUGCUGAAUAAAAGCCCUGUUUUCACCUUUGCUGGGGGAGGUGCCGCUUUGGGAACUAUUCGCAGUGUCCUCUUCACUUUUUG